rnacentral:tRNA from 1 species
GACCACGUAGUUCAACUGGAUAGAAUAUCAGAUUUCGGCUCUGAGGGUUGGGGGUUCGAACCCCUCCGUGGUCACCU